rnacentral:rRNA from 1 species
UACGUAGGGGGCAAGCGUUGUCCGGAAUCAUUGGGCGUAAAGAGCGUGUAGGCGGCCCGAUAAGUCCGCCGUGAAAGUCCAGGGCUCAACCCUGGGAUGCCGGUGGAUACUGUCGGGCUCGAGUCCGGAAGAGGCGAGUGGAAUUCCUGGUGUAGCGGUGAAAUGACGCAGAUAUCAGGAGGAACACCAAUGGCGAAGGCAGAUCUCUGGGCCGUAACUGACGCUGAGGAGCGAAAGCAUGGGGGAGCGAACAGG